GCAAGAUCCCAGCCAGCCCUGAACCGCCCCCAUGCCUGCCUCCACUCCAUCCUCGGCUCAGCCCACUUCAGGCCAUGUGCUGAGUGUGAUGCUUAGAACUUCCCAGCUAGGCAAGCACAAGAAACUCUCUCCUCCAGGUGCCUGACUUCUAGCUGGAAAAGCGCGCACAGAUUACUCUUGAUCAGCAAGGUCCAAUUGGAAGAUGGAACACAGAGACUGGAAAGGCACC
rnacentral:lncRNA from 1 species